rnacentral:miRNA from 1 species
GAAUCUUAUGAGUUUAAUGAAGUAGAUUGUUGGUUAUUACGAACACGACUUACUGAAUAACUGGCUCUCCUUCAUUACACAUUUAAGAAUUCA